AUUGAACGCUGGCGGCAGGCCUAACACAUGCAAGUCGAACGAGUGGCGGACGGGUGAGUAAUGCCUGGGAAUCUGCCUUAUGGAGGGGGAUAACUACGGGAAACUGUAGCUAAUACCGCAUACCAUAGGAUGAGCCCAAGUGGGAUUAGGUAGUUGGUGGGGUAAAGGCUCACCAAGCCGACGAUCUCUAGCUGGUCUGAGAGGAUGACCAGCCACACUGGGACUGAGACACGGCCCAGACUCCUACGGGAGGCAGCAGUGGGGAAUAUUGCGCAAUGGGGGCAACCUGAUGCAGCCAUGCCGCGUGAAUGAAGAAGGCCUUCGGGUUGUAAAGUUCUUUCGGUAGCGAGGCGUUAACUACAGAAGAAGCACCGGCUAACUCCGUGCCAGCAGCCGCGGUAAUAC
rnacentral:rRNA from 1 species